rnacentral:rRNA from 1 species
CGGAUACAACGAGUCGCAAGCUCGCGAGAGUAAGCUAAUCUCUUAAAGCCGUUCUCAGUUCGGACUGUAGGCUGCAACUCGCCUACACGAAGUCGGAAUCGCUAGUAAUCGCGGAUCAGCAUGCCGCGGUGAAUACGUUCCCGGGCCUUGUACACACCGCCCGUCACACCAUGGGAGUUUGUAACGCCCAAAGUCGGUGGCCUAACCUUUAUGGAGGGAGCCGCCUAAGGCGGGACAGAUGACUGGGGCGAAGUCGUAACAAGGUAGC